ACAACUACAGAUCAUUGUCACUUUGUUCAGCGCUAAGCGUCAGUAACAUUCACAAUCCUAAUAUUGACAGUGCUAAAUUUUAAGUAAAAAGGGGUGACAUAAUUUAUUGUAUUGUUGUUUCAUCAGCUUAAUUUAAGAGAAUCAAAUGGUUUAAUGUAGGCCUAGCCUAUACUGUCACCAGUUUUAGUGAAAUGUUGAAGGACAUAAAUCAUUGAAUGACAGCAAACUUUAAAGUUGUUGUUGUAGAGUUCUAGAAAUAAAAUAGCCUAUUAUGUGCCAUGUGUUAUGGGUUAAUAAAAGGAUGAAUACAUAUCAAGUAUGAUGUCUGCUUUGUUUUGUAGGGCCAAAAUUCAGCAUCACAAUACUUUCAACAAAGAUGUCAUCCUUCUUUCGAAGCCAUCAAGCAGUGUCGUUGUCAACCAUCGCACUAAACAACGGUUACAUGAAUACGGACAUAUAUUGAAUGGGUAUGAAUUCCAGAAGUCUUGGGACCAGAAGACUGUCACUGAACAAAUAAGGGAAGCCUUUGGAGAAAAACUGUCAGCUGAAGUGAGCCUUGAGUUUCUGAUGGCAUGUGGCAACAGAUUGAUUUCCCCCAAACUGCGUGCUGGACAGGAACUGGAUGCAAAUCUCAUACACAAAGUAUAUAAAUCGAAAGCCCUAUACCUCAGACCAUCAAAGCCAAUUUUGGUACUGGAUGAUGAUCCUUUUAAGGAUGAUAGCAGCGAUGACAACAAUUUGAGUUCAACUCGCCAACUGCGUUCCUCAUCCCUAACACAAGCUAGACACUGUUGUGCAUCUUCAGACAGUUUGAUCAGUCCAACAACUGCCUCCCCAUCAAACAGUACUUCUGCAGUUCAGUCUUUUGCCUCAUCACUUGGACGUGAAGUCUUAUCCACUCAUACUCCAGCCUCGAUCUACCACAGCAAUAUCUCACCUAACACCACCAUUUCAGCAGGCGGUUCUUCUAAUCAACUGCCAGUAUGUCCUUCCACCAGUCAGCCUUCUACCCUACCAUUUGGAGGAACAACUUCAGUUGAUCCAACCCUGGUCCUGACUUGGCCAAACGGUACAAGCUCACCCUACCAAAGCAGCACUCCAGCAAGUCAUUCCUCUGAGUUACCCUCUACCUCAACACACCAUCAAGCAACAAACUAUGAUAACUACCUUUCAAUAAUGUCUGUACUGUCUGACCUUUCCUCUGACGAGGAGGAACUGAACCAGGCUAUACUAGCAAGCUUGCAUAGUGAAAGGACCACAGGAUGUUGGAUAUAGAGAGAUAUCUUGCAACAAAAAUAACCCAACAGAAGAGAUGCAAGUUUAACAUUAACCGAUCAACAUUCUUGGAUGGAGCCAUCAGAGGUUUUAAACGAGGGACAUAUGAUCCAUGUCACACUAUUUCUGUCAGAUUUUCUGAUGAUAUGGGAGUACCUGAAGAGGCUGUGGACUUGGGUGGACCAAGAAGGGAAUUUCUAACACUGCUUAUGGAAGCUUUGCCCAGAUCUCAAAUGUUUGAGGGAGAAGAAGGCAAAAUGAACUUGGCCUUUGACAGUACUGCCAUGAGAGAGGACCGGUACUUCAUUGCAGGCAGGGCCAUCGCAGUAAAGCCUUGUACACGGUGGUCCUCCCGCAGGCUUUCUGUCCCCAACUCUCUUCUCUUGCCUUGUUGACGGCCCAGAAUUGGCAAAGCCAGUAUUGGCAGAUGUUGCAGAUAGUGACCUAC